AGAAAUUGAAGAGAAAAGAGACCUUACACAAGCUAAAAAUUUCAUAUUUGGGCCAAUGACACUCUCUAGGUGGUGCUUGAGAUUGAUCUUGGAGUUAAAAAUUUCAUAUUUGGAGAUGGUUUAAUUUAGGAAAAUUUUUAGCAAUAUAGUAAAGGAGAUGGUACAAAAUCUUGAUGCAAAAAGAAGAAAAAAAAGAUGGUAAAAGGGGAGGUGUGGGCAACGGCAACAAUGGAGGAAAAAAGGGAAAAAAAUAAAGAUGA
rnacentral:lncRNA from 1 species